rnacentral:lncRNA from 1 species
UAUCUUUAGCCUCAAGCACAAACGUAAAAACUACAUGCAACAAUCAAAUUGAAUGGGGUAAACAUAAUCGUGAAUUGUGCUCAUCUUUCACAAUAUUCCAAGGCAAUAUCCACGAAAGCAAGAAGUAAUUCUUUUUAACGACAACUUUUGUUUUAUGUAAUUAAUGACCCAAGAAUCCAAAACGUCUACGAUUUGUAUAAAGGGCUAGAAGACAACAAAAGGCGAGUGGUCCGUCGCUCAUACUGGAUGGAGGGCGAAUAACUUGUUGCUUGUCGUCUUCCUUGCUGUCAGAGCAAGAUUGCAUUUCAAUUUGCCGAUAUGCUGUUUAUCUUUACAUCAGCCACAGCCCAGUAAAAUCCAGAUUCUGCAAAUCAUGCUAAUGCUCGUUCCGGAGGCCUCGUUCUUCUUGCUUGUGCCUUGCGAGGAGAGAUUAGGCACCAUAGCCAGCCACUGUCAACAAAGUAUAAAUCGCCAUGCUUGUCCCUCGCUAACCGAACAUAAAUAGCCUGGUUUGGUUUGCGGGGGUGCGUUAUCUUUAAUUUCCCCAGUGUAAGUGGACAAUUCAGAGUCAAUUUAAGGUGAUAGAAAAUACAUCAACAAGUUUUACUAAUAAGAACACUAAGUAAGACAAGUUCUUUCAAAAAAAUAGUCCUCGAAAAACAAAAUUGAUCUUUUGAAGAUUAAGAAUAUUCCCGUCUAUCGUGAUGGUUAUGUUUUCUAGCACCUCGAAUUUUACAAAACAUCGGUCUCGAGAUGAAAUUGCACUGUGCUUAUUGUGAGGCGACUCCUAACGUCUCUCUGCUGGGACCAGACAUUUCUACAUCAAGAGCUUGCACUAAGCGGGGGUACCAUUUAACAUGAUUAAUUUAAAGUUAUAGUGUGUCAAUUUAUCCCUCAUGUGUUCCUCUACAAUACAGGUUAGAACAAGUCAAUAUCGAACUCUACCAUUUAUUUUAAGUUUUAAAUCUGGAAAAAACCACGUAUGAAACAGUAACUUCCAUGAAUAUUUCGGUUCUGAGAAGGGCUUGUUUCAAUGCACUAAAUUGCUCUAAGAAUUUGAACCAGAGAAAAUAUUGCCACGAGAAUACGAAGACUGCACGUUAAAAAACUCGAGUAAAGUGGUUAAAAUAUUGCCACGAGAAUACGAAGACUUCCAUGAUAUAUAUGAUAGCUAGUAUUGCAUCUACAUCCACCACGAGCAUCUUCAUUAGGAGGGGAAAAAACUGAUAACGAUCUCUGCAUAAACCUCAUUCAGCACAUGUAUGAUGCCAAAACGAUCUCAAUUUGAGGAAAAUAAGCUGUAUAAAUAGGUAAACUCACAAUUAUUGGGGCCACUUAGGUUCAUUAGAACAAAUUACUUAACUGUUGUAACAAAAACAUACACACACAUAUUUUCAUAUAUACACAGAGAGAGAGAGAGAGAGAGAGAGUUUAAAAGGACAUGAAGAUUUGCUACUUGCCUGGAAUUAAUGGAGGCACAUUAAAUUACAUGCCAUGGAUGGCUGUAGACCCUCUCCAUCCGGCUGCCACGUUGAAUUAUCACUUGCAAGAGUAGUAUUCCAUCCACAAGAAUCCCAACUGUACCCGCUAUUACUCAGCAGCAGUUCCGGCAAUUCAAUCUCGCCCCAGAAAUCAUCACCAGCAACUUCACCGUCGCUGCCGCCACCAUUGUUUGUUUCGCUGCUCUUUUUCAUUGGAAUCAGUACCGAAUGUGCAGCCUUUGCUGCUGCUGCUUGAAUAUCCCUGGCCGUACACGUGGACGGUACAGGCAAGUCAUCGACUUCUUCAGGAAAAUUGAGCUGCGCUUUACGCCCUUUAAGACAAUACGCUGCCACAUCAUACGCCUUGGCUGCCAUUUCUGGCACAGGAAAUGAGCCUAGCCAAAUGCGUGAUUUCUUGCGUGGCUCUCUAAUCUCAGACACCCAUUUUCCCCACCUCCGUUUUCGGACACCGUGGUAGGCGGGGUGUCGGGUGCCGCUUCCCCGGGUAGCAUCGGGAAUUCGUAGUCGGGUCAUCUUCAGUGUGUGGGAGUUGCUCCAUACACGUUUAGAGCCGUUGGCUUAGUACUUCAUGACAUUAUUAAUAUUUAUAUUUGUUGCGGACGGUAACAAGAAAACAACAGCUAGGUAAAUUACUUAACUGUCCUUGUCUAAAAAAAAAGUUAGAGAUUGACCAGUCGUUUUAAGACCUUGUCUGGUUUAAAGUCCGGGUUCCGGGUUUUGAUCGGGUCACUAAGUUGACCGGAUCAAUUUUUUUUUUAAAUCAAAACGACGUUGUUUUAGUAAAAAAAAAAUAAAUAAAUAAAAGUCAACGGGUUUGCGGUCAGGUUUUGCCAGGUCAAUCGGGUCGCCGGGUCACACCGUGUUUUUCUUUUCUUUUCUUUUCUUCAACCUUGCCCGAUUUCAACCCCUGGUCGGUCAGGUCCCGGGUCGACCUGCCGGGCCAGGCCAGGUUUCAAAACUUUGGUUUGACCCUAUAAAUUCCCUCCAAAUUACUAUAUUUGUUUUUGCAUUUUAAAAAUGUUAUUAAAAAAAUUAUAUUUUUUUAUUUGUUUCAAAUUAAUAUAUUUUUAGAUCCUUUUGAUGCGCUGAUAUAAAAAAUAAAUUUGAAAAAAUAAAUUUUUUUAUUAUUUAAAUAUAUUUAUAAGUAAAAAAUAAUUUAAAAAACAAUUACAACUACACUCCCAAAUAUAACAUAACAAAACAUAUAUAAAAUAAUAAAACUCAAGCCAAAAACAUAUUGCAAUAAAUUUAGUUUAUCAUUUACCACUACACUACAAUGUAAUUAUUAUUUUUUUCUUACAAAAAAUCACUAAACUUAUUUUUAAAGCAAUUUUUUUUAAUUUCAUCUAUUUUUUUAAUUUUUUUUAAUUUUUAUAUCAAAUAUGAUUUUUAUUUUAUUUUUUUAUUUUUUUUAAUCAAUUUUUUAAUUGAAUUCCUUUCUCAAUUUCAUCCAUGUCAUUUUAUUUUUAUGUAAGAUUAAGUCCUUAUUCUUUUAAUUGUUUUUUUUCUUUUGAUCCUUUUUUGAAAUUGAUUUUUUUAUUCCUUCAAAAAAUCAUUGAAUUUGUUGAUAAUUGGGCUUCAAUGUUUUUGUUCAACAUGAUGAUCCUAGUCUUAUAACUCGGACAUUGGUAUUUAAUGUUAGCAUGAGUUGAUAUUAGUCUUUAUUUUAUGUAAUUUAAUUUUUUAUUUUCAUCAUUCAAUACUAGAUUUAUUAGAUAUUGAAUUUUUUUUUAUUAGUUUUCUAUGAGGAUAAUCUGGUCUCAUGACCUUGAUCGUGAAUUUGACAUACUAACUCAAAUUUUCAUGGGCAUUUUACAUAAUUUAAUUUCAUCUUGUUUUGUAUCAUAUUUGGUUUUUAUUUUUUUUUGCUUUUGAUUUUUUUUAUUUUUUUAUUUCAUCCUUUAACAUUUAAUUGUUGAGAAUUAUAAUUUAUAAUUUAUUUAUUUGUUUGUUUUAUUUUGAUUUUUUUUUUAAUUUCAUCAUUCAACAUUUGAAGUGGAAAUAUUAUUCAUAUAUUAACAUUCAAUCACCUCACUUUUUUUUCAAUAGUCUUUAUUUCUUUUCUUUUUUUAAUUGGAACCUUUUGUUUCUCAAUUAAUGAUUGAUAGGUGAAAUCCAUAAAAUGAAAUAAAGUUUAAAAAUAAAGGAUUAAAAUAUAAAAAACAGGAAAUCCAAAUGGCUAAUAUAAAAUUCAUAAUAAGUCAUUUUGGUUCGCAUGUUGAUGUUGUUAUUUUUCUUAGUUUUUAUAAUAAAAUAAAGAGAGAAACUUGCCGUAAAAUAAGGAACGAGAAAUAAGAUUAUUAAUUGGCUACAUUCUAGAAACCAAGAUGAAAGAUUUUCGUAUUAAUAACACUUUUUUUUAAGAUGAAUUCAAUGAAAGUGUUUUUUAACUUUUAAAUUGCAAGAAAAGUAGACCAUGACUGGAAAAGAUUUUUUCGGGUUUUGUUAUGCGUUUUUUUAAUGAAUUUCAAAGAGUUUUGGGUGAUUAAAUUGAUUUAUGAAUAUUUAAAGGAUGUUCAUUAGAUAAAAAAUUAAUUUUUUUUUAAUAAAAAAAACAAUACUUGGAUUCUCCAGCCACCCAAAUUCAACAUCCACAAAAGCAAGGAGUAAUUUUUUUAACGCCAACUUUGGUUUUUAAUGAAAUUAAUGACCCAAGAAUCCAAAACGUCGAGGACUUGAAUAAAGAGCUAGCAGACAACAAAAGGCGAGCGGUCCGUCGCUCAUACUGGAUUGAGACGGCGAAUAACUUGUUUAUCUUUACCUCAGCCACAGCCCGGUAAAUCCAGAUCCGGCAAAUCAUGCUAAUGCUCGUUCCGGAGACCUCGUUCUUCUUGCUUAUGCCUUGCGACGGGAGUUUAGGCACCAUAGCCAGCCACUGUCAUCAAAGUAUCGCCAUACUUGUCCCUCGCUUACCGAACAUAAAUAGCCUGGUUUGCGAGGCUGUGGGGGCGCGUUAUCUUCAAUUUCCCCAGUCUUUUUCUUGGGUCAUUUCUCUCCUUCCGUACUCCAACAAUCAGGUACAGUGCUUAUCUGCAAAAAGGAAAGGUGUGAAACAAAAAGCAGCAGCUGAGCCUAUCUGCGUAAGCCUAAGAUUAGAUUCUGUUUGUUUUUUAUUUUAAAAAAUAACCGCAAUUAUUCUCUUAAUAUACCCCCACGGAGUGCUUCAACACCAGCCGACCACAUUAAUCCGUAGGGUUUACAAGCAGUAACAAACCUAAAGCCCGGUCCAAGGAAAGAAAAAUCAAGAGCCCUAGGGACACAUGGCCAUGCUCAAGGCUAUUCAAUCUUCGUCUUUCCUAGGAGCUAGAGCUAUGGAAUCAUUAAUGGACGCCACCCACCAGAGAGCUAAGAAAACAAGAUCGGAUAAACAUUUAUAGUGGCUAUGUGUAGUUUUACACUUAUUUGUUUGUAAAUUAUUAUUUUUAUUUGUUUCCUUAAAGAUUAAAGCUAGAAAAUAUCCCUAUACUUUAUCAAUUUGGUUUCCUUUAUUUUUUUUUUUAAUUUAUUAUUUCUAUCUGCAAUAUGCUUAUGGUUUUUUAUAUUCUCGAGUUAAGACUAUAGUUAAUUUUGAAUACAUGACAGAAUUUUAUGUUGACAUGUGUGGAAGAAUCUUUCUUUCAUAUCCUCUAGGACCUCUACCUUUCUCUCUUUUUUUCCUUUUUCCGUUUCCCUUCUCGUAUUUUCCUCUCUCUUUCUCCCUUGCUUCUCCAUAUCAUCACCCAAUUUUAAUCUCAAUAGAAAGUAAAGGAAGAAAAAUAUCAGGGGGAAAACAACAACAACAAAAGGGUAUAUAUGACCUUACUUAAACCCAUUUAAUCUUUAUCAUUUCUGAGAGUUGGAACUAUCAAAUCAUUAAUAAAAAUUUAAAUUUUCGAAUAUAGAUAGCAUUGGGUUCCCAUAAUAAAAAGAUAUAAUUUUUUUCUCUUCUACUCAAUUUUUUUUCUAUCGUUGCUUCUCCUCAGUAAAAAGAAAAGUGUAAGGAUAAAAAAGAAAAAAGAAGGUAUGAUAUUCUUACUUAUUUAAAUCAUUUUGAAGUAUUGUUUUGUUUGUUUUUAAAAGUGUUUUUUACUCAGAAAUGUAUCAAAAUAAUAUUUUUUUAUUUUUUAAAAUUAUUUUUAACAUCAAUGCAUCAAAAUAAUCUAAAAACAUCAAAAUAUAUUAAUUUGAAAAAAAUAUAUUUUAAAUUUUUAAAAAUAUAUAUAUUUUUAAAAAAACGAACAAGAAUCAUUUUAAUUUUUUAAUUGCCAUCCAGCUAGAACUAUCAAAUCAUUAAUUGAUGCCACCCACAAGGAGUUUUUUGUUGUGAAUAUUUCGUUGAUAAUCUAGAGGUUGUAAUUUAGACUUUCAAAUCUAGAUAGCAUUGGGUUCACACAAUAAAAAGAAAGAAAAAAAGUGAAACGGAUAAGUAGCUUUUCAUACACUAUUUUGCUUGUUUCAUAAAUUUAACUUAAAAAAAUUAUUUGGUUAAGUUCAAAUAAGGGGCAAGGGGAAGGAGAAGGGUAAACUUCAUGGAUAAUCCUAUAUAAACAACUAAAUCAUUCCUUGAUAAUUAUAUUUUUAUGUUCCAUGACCCAUAAUUUAUCAUUUAUAGUUGCCAUGCAUAGUUUUAGACUUAGUUAUUAUUAAUUUGUUUUUAAAUUAAUUUUUCAAAAAGAUUAAAGCAUUAAAAUAUUAUUGUACUAUGUCGAUCUGGUUUAUUAUGUCCUUGUAUAUCUUUCUAGGUUAAUUUAUUAUGUUCACGUGGCUAUUUAUAUCCUUUGGUUAAAGACUCAACAAACCAUAAUUAAUUUUGAAUACGUGGCAAGAUUGUAUGGUAACACAUGUAAAACAAAUUUCAUACUCUCCCAGUCUCCUCUCUCUUCCAGUACUUUUUUUUUCUUUCAACAUUUAUAUAAUUAAUAAUUAGAUUUUUUCCUUCUAAAGUAGGGCAUGCAAUUUAUUUAUUUUUAAUAUAUGUAGCCUUUAUUUUUGUGUAAUUUGAUGUGAUAUAUACAUAUCCAUGAAUCACCGUGUGACAGACGAUAAGGUAGAGUGUUUUUGUCCUUUAAGGUAACUUUUGUGAUUACCGUUUAAAAAAGAGUAAAUUUUAAAAAAAUAUAAUUAGGUGUAAUUAAUUGAAUUUAAAUAUAUAUUUGAUAAAAAUUAUGGUUGAGAUUUAUAUAAAAAAAAUAUGUUUGAAAUGUUUAGUUAUAAUUGCUUUUCAAAGGUAUUUUUUACUUAAAAAUACAUUAAAAUAAUAUUUUUUAUUUUUUAAAAAUUAUUUUUGAUAUCAUCACAUCAAAAUAAUUUGAAAUAAAAAAAAAAAAUUUAAUUUUAAAAAAAAUACUUUUUAAACAUAAAAAUAAAUAGAGUUUUAUGAAACUCAGUUAAAAAAACAUUUAAAAACUACUUCAUAAAAAAUAUAUUUCAAAAUUAAUUUUUUAAUGAGUUUCACAGUAUAAAACACAGUGAGAUAUAUUACUAAACAUCUAAUUAUAUUUUUUACACUGCAAAUAUAGAAACAAAGGGUAAACAAACGGAUCUUUAGACAUGCAUAUCACAUUCCAAAUUUUCACAGCACCUGCUUUUAUUAUCUUCAUUGAUGCACUAUACUACGUACAGCAUGUAAACUUGAAAACUACAUUUUUCACACAGCUUUAACUAAUUUAAGCACCAGGGCACUCCAAGUCUAAUAAAAAACUCGUUUUAGGUGUUUGUGGCCAUUCCAGUGUGGUGUUUUAUCUUCCUGCUUUCCACCUAGUUAUCAGGCGCAAAUCCAAGGAAGUUUGGUGAAACUCAUCAUUUAAUAAUUUUUUUUUAUAUAAUUAUAAAUUUUUGGAUCAAUUUGUAUGCAUCUCGAUUAAUUUUUUAAAAUUUUAAAAUUAACAAUCAUGUAAAUCUCUAAUAAUUCUAAGAUUUGUGAUACUUAAACCAAUAAUUUUUAAAAAAUAAAUAUAACUAAUUAAUCUUCACCUCUCAAAAAUACAUUGCUCAAUCAUUUAAUAAUUUAGUUGGUAAACAAGAUGUCACAUACCAAAAUAAAUGAAGGAUAUAGACAAUUACAGCUGGCUGAAUCCUUCAGCUUGCGGAGUAUCUGCCUAUGGGGUAUCUUUCACAAGAUAAUACAGUACCACCUCACCACAUGAUAAAUGCCCUCUCUUGUCGUCUCCUCUCCUCAUUCUCCCUCUAAAUUCUGUCACAUGUAAAAUUCACUAAUUUUGUGGUUUCAAUGUAUGGUAGAUGGACCGCCUCGAAAACCUGCCAAAGCCAUUAAAUUCUGACCACGAUCUCCACCGCAGUCCCCUUGUCGUUUCCGGGGGGUUGCAUUCAGAGUUUCCACAUAUUUUAUUUUUUAAAAAAAUUGGAGCUUUAUUGUUAAAAAUUAAUUUUUUUAAUAUAUUAAUAAUAAAAAUUAUUUUUUAUAUAAUAUUUAAAUGAAAAAUAUCAUUUUAAAAAACAAUUAUUAUCAUAUUUUUAAAUAAUUUAUUCAUCUCCUCCAUGAAACCAAUCAUGUUUAAUCAAACAGUAAUUUACACUCUCCUCGAUCUUUUCUUUGAUUUUCAUCUUAAAAUUAAUGCUAGGCGACAAUACGAGGUGCUAAUUCCUGAUAAAUUGGCCAUGUCUACAUUUUCAGACUGACCGCGAGAGUGCUGGAAAAGUGGUUUUAUGCACCCUGAAUAUGAUCGGAGACUAACAGCAGAGCAGAAUGUUUCAUAUAAGCUCAAGCUGUGAGCUUGAAUUCGGUUGAAAAAAAACUUGUUUGGAAUUCAAAUGCAGAAUUGCUCUUAAUGCAAACUCGUUUGAUGUCGCAAAUUAUCGUCAAUGAUAAAAGAAAGCCAUCUUCAAUUUUUAAUUCCUUCAUUAGCACCAUUUGGCCAUAAAUUUACUGUUCUAAUUUGUGUGUAGUUCGUUUUUACUGUGGAGCCUUGAGUCUUCUGUACGAAUGGGAACACAUCGUACAGUACUGCGGCCGUGUUGGGCACGCAUUAUAAGAUCUUUCGCGGUAAUUUUUCUCUUAGCAAAAUAACACAAUAUUUAAUGAAAUAUCAUAAUAUAGAUAAAUAGAUUCCCAAGUAUCAACUUGUCCUGAAUUCAAAGAUUAUUAAGUUUCACUGGCAAUCUACAGCAAGAAGAAAUUAUCAUCCUUUUCUUGUUUUUUUCUCUCGAAGAACCCGCUUUGUAUGGCUAAAUUUCAGACCAUGAAAAACGUGGUGACACCGGAAAUUGCAGGCCGUAGGUGGUGGUCAGGUCCUAUAUAAAGUUUUCAAGUUCAAUGGUUUUGACUGCGUCGUCUUUGUCAAAGAAUAAAAAUACGAUCACUGAAGAACUGUUAGUGCUCAUCCAAAUAAUACAUCCUGUAUUGUAGAAAAGAAACCGACCUUGGACGAAGCCAUUGUUUCCCAGAGCUACGAGGAUCCCCUGUAGCUCUGUUUCUCCUUUUGAGUUAAAGCAGAAUCGCCUGUUCUGUCACCAUCCUGGUGAUGCUUUGUUGUAGGAAAACUGCAUUACUGAUGCUCGGAAACCCAAUGCCGAUGCAUGCCAACGCGAAACUUUAAGACCUCCCACGAUAGAGAAUUGAGAGAGAAGAAAAACAAUGAAGGCGACAUAUAUAAAAGACAAAUGCAUUCAAAAUGUUCCGUAUAUACAUCGUUUUCUCAACUUUAUUUAUGUUUUGACUCAACGAUGAUACCGUGGUCCAUAAAAGAACACGCAACCCGUCCAUCAAACACUGAUGGAGAAGCACAAGCACCGUGUGCUUGGUAUGAUUUCAGAAUCAAAUACUGAUCGCAUCCCCACCUGAAUUAAUGUGAGAUCCUAGAACUGAGGGAGGACGAUUCUGUGUUUUGUAUAUAGCUCGGGACCGAACAGAUUUUUAGAUUAAAAAAGAAUAUGCUUGCAUCAAAUUACGCAUAAUUGAUAAUUCCCAAGUCCUGGAAUAACAGAUAAAUCGGUGAACUGCUAAGAGUACUAAUCAGGGCCGUUCUGAUUUAAGUGAUCGAUGAAUUAUUAUAGCCUAGAAUUCAAUGGCUAUUUCAGCUUUGUCAUUUGUGGCAUUGCACAGCACAAAAUAGACCACGCCAGGAUGACGUCGGGGAAACGAAAGCAAUGGCAGCGAUCUCUUUCCCUGCAGAUUCACUGUGCAGCUGAGACCACAAAAGUCUUGCAGUCCUAUACAAUUACAGCGGGACCUAUGUUCCGUACUUUUUUGUUUCUCUACUCAAAUGCAGAGUAACUGGAAUUGGCCUUAUGUCUGAGACGACAAACUGAUGACAUUACUGCAUCCUUUAUUCCUUGCAUGGCAAGUGUAUUCCCAAGAUUUUAUCUUCUUCGUGAGUUUAAAAUAAAGAAAAGUCCAGUGUACGUCGACAAUUCAGAGUCAAUUUAAGGUAAUAGAAAAUACAUCAACAAGUUUUACUAAUAAGAACACUAAGACAGACAAGUUUUUUUUAAAAAAAUAGUCCCAGAAAAACAAAAUUGAUCUUUCGAAGAAUAAGGAUAUUCCCGUCUAUCGUGAUGGUUAUGUUUUCUAGCACCUCGAAUUUUACAAAACAUCGGAAUCGAGAUGAAAUUGCACUGUGCUUAUUGUGAGGCGACUCCUAACCUCUCUGCUGCUCUCUGCUGGGACCAGACAUUUCUACAUCAAUCUAAG